UCGAAACCGCAUACUUUCAUUCUAUUUAGUAGGCAAAAAGCAGUAGGCGAAGGAAAAGUAUGCAUGAAAUUUCAACAUUCACAAAAGAGUAGGCGAGAUUUACCAGGAUGGAGCACUAUUUCUCGCGAGAUUCGGGCGUAUAUUUAAGUAUCGUUAGAAUAUGCCUACUUGCCUACUAGUAGGCGAAUUGGGUUCGUGAGAAGAGUAGUAUGUCCGAAAACCACCAUAAAAGAGUAAGCGAGAGAUCCCCGGAUGACCUACUGCGUCCCGCCCAGACUCCGAAGUGCCGAUACCUUUCUAUCCCAGAAGCCCACGCGGGAGUAUACGUUUUUUUUGUUUGUUUGUUUUUUUACAGUAUAUGGUUAUCAUCGACCGUGAAGGACAACAGCGACGAGGGGUGUUAACAAAUGGGAGUACAAACCAAAAACACGGUUACUUGUGUUUAAAUGGCGUUUGUUGAGCUACGAGACAGAUGUGUUUAUCCGGUGAAGAGUGACUGAUGGAGGAAUGCUGCCAUCGAAGGCUUUGAAUGAGUACACUACAGAAAUGAAUAAAACAUCUUUUAAAUGUUAAGUUGGUAGUUUAUUUUAAUUACUGUAAUUUUAAACAGAGUUAUUACAGCACUUUUCUGAUUCUUGAUUUCAGUACAUUUGCUGCAGAGUUUUCGUGGUGGAGCAGGUGACGGCGGCAUUUGUGGGGAAAAAAGGAAAACCCGAAAUAAAAUAUAAAGAUCUGAAAUGUCCACAGACUAGUGUGAGCAGAGAGGAUGGAGAAGUCCACAGCAGCAUCCUGGAAAUGGUCCAGUGCCAUAAGACGCUCCAUCACUCAAUCUGCCCUCAUCUGGACCAGAUGUUGCCAUAGUCUCUUCAUCCUCAGUGAGCCCAGAGCCAGCGAGAGCAUCUAGAGAAAGACCAAAAGACAUUGAGGAUGUGAUUUUGGUAAAGUUUGUUCUGCUGGUUUCUGUUCAUACAACAUCAGUCAACGAAACGAAAUGCACUAAGUUAGUUUGCCAACCGCCAAUAAGCUGAAAGAAGAGCUAAUGAGAGGGUUCCUUCUCCCAAGAGCACGAGUGUGUUGAGACGUUUCCAGUCCCAGAGUGUUGCUCUUGUUGACGGUGUUAUGGCUGUAGAGUGCAGUUUCAUGUGUUAAGCUUAAAUUUAAAACAACUCAAAUGUGAUGUGGCUGUAGUGCACAGCUUUGAGUCGUUUGCCUGUUUUCUUUUAGUGUUGGAGCAGUAGGGAGUCAGGUGCCAUUUUCUUUUGUCCUCGUUUUCUCCUGUUUUUGCUAGUUGUGAAGUCAGGUAAGAAUUCUGUUUAUUUGUAUUUAUUUUUCUUGUAGGUUUACUAGAUUCUCUUCUGGCAGGUAGUAACCUUUUGUUUGUUAUUUUGGCUUUACCCGCUCCUGAAGAGAUGCUGCUUAUGCUAAAAUUGUUUGUUUGGAGAUUAUUUUGCACAUAUAUAUAUAUAUCUCGUCAUUUGUUUAUUGUAAAUAAACUGACUUGCUUCUUACUUUGUGCACUGAUUGCUGGGACUGAGAACGGUUCAAACCUAUCUCUCUACCGCUACAAACCUUUACUUUAAAACGUUACUUUCCUUUUGCCCCAAGAAAUCUAAUUGGGAACGUAACGCGUCACUCCGGACUACAUCAUCCAUCCAUUGCACUGAUUACACAUACACAGCUGAAUCCAAUCAGACACGCUUUAUAAGCCUUGGACUUCCUCUUUCAGAUCACAGAGUAUUGUCUAGCGUUUAUCGCUCUCCCAGUGAUAGCUACAUUACGGAGCCCUUCCGUGUUUUCUGAGUCUAAGUCUAGUUUAUUGCCUGGGUCAUUAGUAUAUUUAUCCUAGCUCGUGUAUCUCGUUUCUUGUCUGAUCGCUGCCUGCCCUGAAGUUUGUAGCCUACCUUGGAUCUCUCUUUAGUCUUGUCAUUUUGUACUCUGUUUGCUCCUGCCUGGACUACUGCUCACGUUAUUGGAUUACCCCUCUUGUGUGAAGCCCUCUGGAUAUUGUUCGCCAAUUGAAGAUCCAUGCUUGUGAUACAAACAGAUACACUGAUUUAUAUAAAAGUGGUUUUACAGAAUAACAAACAAAAGGAAGUAUAGAAUUGCACAUUAAAACUGCACAUUUUAGAGUGGCCUUUUAUUUUACCUGUGAGGUGG